UACGAAGGGUGCAAGCGUUACUCGGAAUUACUGGGCGUAAAGCGUGCGUAGGUGGUGAGUUAAGUCUGUCGUGAAAGCCCCCGGGCUCAACCUGGGAAUGGCGAUGGAUACUGGCUCGCUAGAGUGCGGAAGAGGCGAGUGGAAUUCCUGGUGUAGCGGUGAAAUGCGCAGAUAUCAGGAGGAACACCAAUUGCGAAAGGCAGCUCGCUGGGACGUAACUGAC
rnacentral:rRNA from 1 species